UACGUAGGGUGCAAGCGUUGUCCGGAAUUAUUGGGCGUAAAGAGCUCGUAGGCGGCUUUGCAAGUCGGGUGUGAAAUCCCCAGGCUUAACCUGGGAACUGCAUUCGAGACUGCAUUGCUAGAGUAUGGGAGAGGGAAGUGGAAUUUCCGGUGUAGCGGUGAAAUGCGUAGAUAUCGGAAGGAACAUCAGUGGCGAAAGCGACUUCCUGGACCAAUACUGACGCUCAUGUGCGAAAGCGUGGGGAGCAAACAGG
rnacentral:rRNA from 1 species